rnacentral:rRNA from 1 species
CUAAUCAAGCCUGGUGAUAGCUGGUUCUCCCCGAAAGCUAUUUAGGUAGCGCCUCGGACGAAUACCAUAGGGGGUAGAGCACUGUUUCGGCUAGGGGGUCAUCCCGACUUACCAAACCGAUGCAAACUCCGAAUACCUAUGAGUACUAUCCGGGAGACAGACUGCGGGUGCUAACGUCCGUAGUCAAGAGGAAAACAAUCCAGACCGCCAGCUAAGGCCCCAAAAUCAUAGUUAAGUGGGAAACGAUGUGGGAAGGCAUAGACAGCUAGGAGGUUGGCUUAGAAGCAGCCACCCUUUAAAGAAAGCGUAAUAGCUCACUAGUCGAGUCGGCCUGCGCGGAAGAUGUAACGGGGCUAAAACUAUGUGCCGAAGCUGCGGAUGUAUACUUUGUAUACGUGGUAGGGGAGCGUUCUGUAAGCCGAUGAAGGUGUGUUGAGAAGCAUGCUGGAGGUAUCAGAAGUGCGAAUGCUGACGUGAGUAACGACAAAACGGGUGAAAAACCCGUUCGCCGAAAGACCAAGGGUUCCAGUCCAACGUUAAUCGGGGCUGGGUGAGUCGACCCCUAAGGCGAGGCCGAAAGGCGUAGUCGAUGGGAAAAUGGUUAAUAUUCCAUUACUUCUGUGUAAUGCGAUGAGAGGACGGAGAAGGCUAAAUCAGCCUGGCGUUGGUUGUCCAGGUGAAAGGAUGUAGGCAUGUAUCUUAGGCAAAUCCGGGGUACUCUAUGCUGAGAUCUGAUAGCAAGCUGUACUUGUACAGCGAAGUGGUUGAUGCCAUGCUUCCAGGAAAAGUCUCUAAGCUUCAGUUACACAGGAAUCGUACCCGAAACCGACACAGGUGGUCAGGUCGAGUAGACCAAGGCGCUUGAGAGAACUCUGCUGAAGGAACUAGGCAAAAUGGUACCGUAACUUCGGGAGAAGGUACGCUGUUGUUGGUGAUGGAACUCGCUUCCUGAGCUGACGACAGCCGCAGAAACCAGGCCGCUGCAACUGUUUAUUAAAAACAUAGCACUCUGCAAACACGAAAGUGGACGUAUAGGGUGUGAUGCCUGCCCGGUGCUGGAAGGUUAAUUGAUGGGGUUAGCGUAAGCGAAGCUCUUGAUCGAAGCCCCAGUAAACGGCGGCCGUAACUAUAACGGUCCUAAGGUAGCGAAAUUCCUUGUCGGGUAAGUUCCGACCUGCACGAAUGGCAUAAUGAUGGCGGCGCUGUCUCCAGCAGAGGCUCAGUGAAAUCGAAAUCGCUGUGAAGAUGCAGUGUACCCGCGGCUAGACGGAAAGACCCCGUGAACCUUUACUGCAGCUUGACACUGAACUUUGACCUUACUUGUGUAGGAUAGGUGGGAGGCUUUGAAGCUGGAACGCUAGUUCCAGUGGAGCCGUCCUUGAAAUACCACCCUGGUAAUGUUGAGGUUCUAACUCUGUCCCGUGAUCCGGGACGAGGACCGUGUCUGGUGGGUAGUUUGACUGGGGCGGUCUCCUCCUAAAGAGUAACGGAGGAGUACGAAGGUGCGCUCAGCGUGGUCGGAAAUCACGCGUAGAGUAUAAAGGCAAAAGCGCGCUUAACUGCGAGACCCACAAGUCGAGCAGGUACGAAAGUAGGUCUUAGUGAUCCGGUGGUUCUGUAUGGAAGGGCCAUCGCUCAACGGAUAAAAGGUACUCUGGGGAUAACAGGCUGAUACCGCCCAAGAGUUCAUAUCGACGGCGGUGUUUGGCACCUCGAUGUCGGCUCAUCUCAUCCUGGGGCUGAAGCAGGUCCCAAGGGUAUGGCUGUUCGCCAUUUAAAGAGGUACGCGAGCUGGGUUUAGAACGUCGUGAGACAGUUCGGUCCCUAUCUACCGUGGGCGCUGGAAAUUUGAGAGGAUCUGCUCCUAGUACGAGAGGACCAGAGUGGACGAACCUCUGGUGUACCGGUUGUGACGCCAGUCGCAUCGCCGGGUAGCUAUGUUCGGAAGGGAUAACCGCUGAAAGCAUCUAAGCGGGAAGCCUACCUCAAGAUAAGAUUUCCCUAGGACUUUAUGUCCUCUAAAGAGCCGUUCGAGACUAGGACGUUGAUAGGUUGGAUGUGGAAGCAUAGUGAUAUGUGAAGCUGACCAAUACUAAUUGCUCGUGAGGCUUGACUAU